GCCCGGCUGGCACAAUCGGUAGCGCGUGAGACUCUUAAUCUCAAGGUUGUGGGUUCGAACCCCACGUCGGGCU
rnacentral:tRNA from 1 species